rnacentral:rRNA from 1 species
UGCGUAGGCGGCUGAUUAAGUCAGCGGUGAAAGGUAGCAGCAUAACUGUUUUACAUGCCGUUGAUACUGGUAGACUUGAGUGUGAUUGAGGUAGCUGGAAUGGAUAGUGUAGCGGUGAAAUGCAUAGAUAUUAUCCAGAACACCGAUUGCGAAGGCAGGUUACUAAGUCAUAACUGACGCUGAGGCACGAAAGUGUGGGGAUCAAACAGGAUUAGAUACCCCAGUA